GAGCGGCGAACGGGUGAGUAACACGUAGGUGAUCUGCCCAUCAGACGGGGACAACGAUUGGAAACGAUCGCUAAUACCGGAUAGGACGAAAGUUUAAAGGUGCUUCUGGCACCGCUGAUGGAUGAGCCUGCGGCGCAUUAGCUAGUUGGUAGGGUAAAGGCCUACCAAGGCGACGAUGCGUAGCCGACCUGAGAGGGUGACCGGCCACAUUGGGACUGAGACACGGCCCAAACUCCUACGGGAGGCAGCAUG
rnacentral:rRNA from 1 species